GCCUGAUGCACAUUUGUCAUUGAUUGAACUUGUUCUGCAGCUGAAAUUACUGGUGCACAAUCAAAAGCUUCAGGAACAUGGUAAUGAAAGGACGGAAGAAGCCUCAAGCAUGAGAGAUACUGAACAGAAGAAAGAUGCCUCUUUGGAAUCAGGAAAUUUUGAUAAGCCUAAGAAAAAGGAAAAUAUUUUCGCUGUUGACGUGGAAAUGCUGAGUGUAUCUGCUGGG
rnacentral:misc_RNA from 1 species